CUUUUCCUCUGCACAGGUUUUGAUAAAUCUCCCCCAUAGUCCGCUCAGCUUAAACUGCUGUGAAGGGUCUACACAGGAAAUGAAAAGUGACGUCAGUGAUGCCGCACAGAGAAGCCGGCAGAGGACGUAACUCAUCUGCUUCACUGACCCUGCAAGACCCUCCGCCUGACCUGCCGAAGCGCAGACAGGGAAGAACAAAGUGGUCAUCCUGAACUAUCACUCCCAAGCUGAAAGUUUUGUGCCAGAAAACAGUUUCUAGAUGUACUUUCCAAACUACCGAGAAGGAUCACAAACAAAUGUAUCAAUGUAAUGGUCAGCAAUGAAAAUGGAGCUCCGAAGAGAGAAAUAAAUCUUU